GAUGAACGCUGGCGGCGUGCCUAAUACAUGCAAGUCGAGCGAACGGACGAGAAGCUUGCUUCUCUGAUGUUAGCGGCGGACGGGUGAGUAACACGUGGAUAACCUACCUAUAAGACUGGGAUAACUUCGGGAAACCGGAGCUAAUGCCGGAUAAUAUUUUGAACCGCAUGGUUCAAAAGUGAAAGACGGUCUUGCUGUCACUUAUAGAUGGAUCCGCGCUGGAUUAGCUAGUUGGUAAGGUAACGGCUUACCAAGGCAACGAUGCAUAGCCGACCUGAGAGGGUGAUCGGCCACACUGGAACUGAGACACGGUCCAGACUCCUACGGGAGGCAGCAGUAGGGAAUAUUGCGCAAUGGGCGAAAGCCUGACCGAGCCACGCCGCGUGAGGGAUGAAGGUCUUCGGAUUGUAAAACUCUGUUAUUAGGGAAGAACAUAUGUGUAAGUAACUGUGCCCAUCUUGACGGUACCUAAUCAGAAAGCCCCGGCUAACUACGUG
rnacentral:rRNA from 1 species